rfam:Picea glauca, whole genome shotgun sequence.
ACAUGCCCACAACAUAGUGUUAAUGCACCAGAUCCCAUUAGAACUCCACAGUUAAGUGCACUUAGGCUAGAGUAGUACUAGGAUGCAUGACCACUCGUGAAGUCCUAGUGUUUUACAUUCC